UCCCGGGUCGUCUAAGGGCAGGACAAUCGGUUUUGGUCCGAUUAAUGGGGGUUCGAAUCCUCCCCCGGGAG
rnacentral:tRNA from 1 species